AAUGGCUCUUGUUAAAUUAAAUAAUUCAUUUAAAUUAUAAUUCGCGAAGGUAGAGUCAGUGAAUCCGCCGAUUGUUACUUAAACGCGCGCGUUGAUAGUCUUUUAUUUUUCUUUUCUCAUAUUUUUUUUUCUUCAACACUCGUUUUCGGUAUUGGAGUGAGUGCUCAAGAGAAUAAGGCUUCUCCAGGAGAUCAAGAUCGUAAGUAGUUAUAUAUUGUACUUCAAUUUACUCAAUUUUUCAAAUUUAACAAUAGAGUAUAAUGUUUGACGUUUUUUUACAGACGCUUCACAUCAGCAUUAAUUUUUUUGUAUUUUUUGGGGAAAAUCCAGCGACGGCUUUAAAGCCAAGAAUAUCUUCUACAAUCUCCCCUUUCCCUAAUACUCUAAGAAUCUUAUAGCUUCAGAAGCUAAAAAUAAAUUUUUCACGCGUCCACUUCCACCAUGGGAUUCUCAGUGGUAUCUGCUUGAUGAGAGCCUCCCAAGAUAACUUUCCCUUCUUCAACGUAGCAUCGAUGAUAACGUUCUUCACAUCUAUUGCGUGAGUCGCAUGCAUUUAUGUUCCUCCGGUCACUCAAUCAUGUCGUAGGAC